GACGAACGCUGGCGGCGUGCUUAACACAUGCAAGUCGAACGGAAAGGCCCUGCUUGCAGGGUACUCGAGUGGCGAACGGGUGAGUAACACGUGGGUGAUCUGCCCUGCACUUCGGGAUAAGCCUGGGAAACUGGGUCUAAUACCGGAUAGGAGCCAUUUUUAGUGUGAUGGUUGGAAAGUUUUUUCGGUGUAGGAUGAGCUCGCGGCCUAUCAGCUUGUUGGUGCGGUAAUGGCCUACCAAGGCGGCGACGGGUAGCCGGCCUGAGAGGGUGGACGGCCACAUUGGGACUGAGAUACGGCCCAGACUCCUACGGGAGGCAGCAGUGGGGAAUAUUGCACAAUGGGCGCAAGCCUGAUGCAGCGACGCCGCGUGGGGGAUGACGGCCUUCGGGUUGUAAACUCCUUUCGCUAGGGACGAAGCUUUUUGUGACGGUACCUAGAGAAGAAGCACCGGCUAACUACGUG
rnacentral:rRNA from 1 species